rnacentral:rRNA from 1 species
GAUCCUGGCUCAGGACGAACGCUGGCGGCGUGCUUAACACAUGCAAGUCGAACGCUGAAGCCUAGCUUUUGUUGGGUGGAUGAGUGGCGAACGGGUGAGUAACACGUGAGUAACCUGCCCCCCUUCUUUGGGAUAACGCCCGGAAACGGGUGCUAAUACUGGAUAUUCACUGAUCUUCGCAUGGGGGUUGGUGGAAAGGUUUUUUUCUGGUGGGGGAUGGGCUCGCGGCCUAUCAGCUUGUUGGUGGGGUGAUGGCCU